AUCAAUCUAGUAAAAAUAAUUACGUCACUUUGAUAAGGUGGAAUUCCAAUGGGUUUGAUA
rnacentral:tRNA from 1 species